ACCGGCGGCCGGUUCCCCGUGCGGGGGGUGCCUGUAAACAAUGGUGCCCCCCCUGCGCCGCGCUCCCUUACCGAUUCUUCCUCCUUCUCCAUCCCCGUGGGCAUCUGCGGCACGGCCCGGUUGAUGGAGACGCAGUCGUUGAGAGCAUCACAGAAUAUUCAGGGUUGGAAGGGACCUCUGGAAACCAUCCAGUGCAGCCAGGGUCACCUGGAGCAGCAAAUACAACUGCUGUUCGUGACAAACACAUGAUUUACAAAAUGAAGAAUAAAGAAUUGUGUCAGCUAGAGAGAGAGAGAGAAGGAAGAUGAAACAAGCACAGGAAUACACAGGAGGGAAACAGAAGCAGCAAGAACAUUGUGUUCAUCAGCCACAGACACAAAUUAGCUUGGGAAAGAGAUCUGGAAAUUGUAUUAACUACUGCUAUGAAAGCAUCAGAUUUCAGAAGCCAGAGUGAAGGACUUGCCAUAAAGAGGACUCUGGAAAACUCUGUGCCAGAGAGAAAAACCAUUGAGAGAAGCAAGAACUUAUUUUCCUGGAAGUGGAAAUGAGCUGUGUUUCUGCUGGGAGUUCAGAAUUGCUUCUCCUUCAAAAAGGCCUCAAAUGGUUGUGGUUUGAUGAGACAGAAGCUUCUGCAGUGGCAUGAAGGGAAUGUCUGUUCUGCUCCUGUUUGGUGCCUGGGAAGUUGGUUCCUCUCAGCACAGACCCUGCAGCCCCUCUGCCACCUGCUGGGGGUCCAAGUGAAGCAGAAACCAGCUGGGCAGGAAUUCUGUGGUUUUGUCACCCCAAGAAUUGAUCCCUCAGAUAUUCAGGGAAUUAUCAGUGAAGGAUUUACCACUUACCUGCACCAUGGAUGUGGGGGUGGCUGGAAAAGCCUUUGCUGUCCAUCCCAUCUGUACCUGGUCACCAUCCCACAGCUCAGCCCAGCAUCGCUCACUGGGAUCAGCUCCUGCCUGAAUUUGGAACUCCUCACCCUGUGCCAGUGCUUCCCUGGGACCUCUCCCAGCAAUUCCUCAGGAUGCUCCUGCUCUUCCUUCCCUGCUUCAUCCAGUGUCAGUCAAAACCCUUCCCACUUCCCAGAUCUUUCCCAAAGCAGGAAUUUCCAGACAGUGCUGCUCUAAAUAUAAUUUUUUUUCCAGUUGUAAAUCCUACCCCUUAUCUCCCUUUGGGAUGACACUCAAUUACAAACCAACCCUUAUCUCACAGCAGGUAAAAACGUGGAGAUGGAAUCUCUCCAGGAUCUUCUUUCACAUGGGGGAUUCCAAAUCAAAUCUUGGAUUUUUUAAUUAUAUUUUUUUUUAACAGAACAACAAAAAACUGCUUUUAAGUGUUCACAGCCAAGACCUGGCAGAGGGAAAUGAGGGCUCUGAGCUCCCAGUGCUUUAUACAACACAAAGUGUCAGCAUUCCAGGCUGAAGGAGAGGCUGUAAUGCAGGAUCACACCAGGCUGGUGGGAAUUUUGGGAGCUGUCCAGGCAUUUAUGGCAUCACCAGCAGUAUCUGAGGAGACACAAGAGCAUGGAAUUGCUCUUCAUCCUUGGGAGCACGAGGAUAACCAGACACCAGGAGCAGGGCAGGAGUGCUUGGUGGGGUGUCUGUGGCCUUGGAAGUCCCUGCAGCUCCCAGGAUCGUGGCCUGGGGAUAGAACAAUUUAUUUUUGUAGGAUUUUUUUUGGUUUUUAGCCUCCAAGUGUUUUCCAAGGUUUUAGCCUCCAAGUUGUAUCCCAGUGUGAACGGUGAGUACUGAACUGAAGGAAUGUUUGAUGUUUGGAUUGCUGGAACCUCCUGCUUGGAGCUCUGGGUGUUUUGGGGCAAUCCUGGCCCCUGGAGGUGCAGCUGCUGGCUCAGAGGGGUGGGAUGGGGAGGAUGGGAAUGCCUGGGAUGGGAUCCUGGCUGCUGCGAGCAGGAGCCUCCUCCAGCUCCCCAAACUUACCCGUGGGACGCGGCGCCGACGCCUUCCAGGAGCACACAGACCACGGGCAGGCAGUGGGAGCUGCAGCCUGAGCUGGGAAUUGCCUUGGCUCUCAUGGAUUUAACUCACCCUCACAGCUGUGGGCUGCAUUUAAUUCCACAGCGGUGCCCGGGGCCCCGUUUAAGAGCGGGCAUCCCAUCGUGGCACCGAGCAAUCCGUCGGAAGACAAAGUCCCUGCCCCGAAGAGAACAGCACAGGAACUGUUUUUUCUGGUGAUUUAAUCAUAAUAUUGACAACUUUAUCAAAAAUUACAAAACUGAUAUUAAAAAAAUUCUCUAAUUCUUAGUAAGACUAGAAUGGGUUUUUUUAAAAAAUAGAAAAGCACUUUUAUGCUACGGCUCUUCUGGAAUUCUCACAUUACAACCCUACAUAGCAAAAUACAAACUGUAGCUAAGAAAGGUAAUUCAGUCCUAAGGUAAUUCAGUCCACCACGAGCCCUCUAAUAUCUCUAGACCAUCAAACUCAGGGACUCCAAAAGGAUUUCACAUGACUUAUAAACCUUCUGCAAAGAUGAUUUCGGAAAGACCUUGGAAUUUGAAGUUUCUCUUAACCCCUAAAACCUUAGACUGUGAGGAUAACAGACCUGGGACAUCAGAGGUGGGGUGGGUUGUUUUUUUUUUCUUUUUUUAAAAUUAUUUUUAAACUAUGUGGAUUUUUUUUUGUUUGCAGCUGAUACCAGCCAGGAAGUUGAAAAUACGAAGGAAAUCCAUCGAAAGAAAUGAAAAUAUUUUUGUUUCGUUUCGUUUCUGGCGUUCACACAACGCACCAUAAUAGAAAGAGGAAUAUUUCCUUUAAUUUGAAUGUCAUCUGAAUGACUCAACCACAUUGUCACCCACUUAAGCAAAAGAAAGCAUAAUAAAUAAAUAAAUAAAUAGACAAGAAUAUGCAACACUUUA